UUGAAGAAUUUAUUACAAAGACGACACAACUGUGUGUGUGUGUGUGUGUGUGUGUGUGUGUGUGUGUGUGUGUGUGUGUGUGUGUAUGUUUGUUGACACACCUCUUCCUAACACAUCAUCAUUGUCACUCAAAUAAUAAUAAUAAUAAUAAUAAUAAUAAUAAUAAUAAUAAUAAUAAUAAUAAUAAUAAUAAUAAUAAUAAUAAUAAUAAUAAUAAUAGUAAUUUCUCAAGCACUUUCUGAGCAUAUGUGAGAGAGAGAGAGAGAGAGAGAGAGAGAGAGAGAGAGAGAGAGAGAGAGAGAGAGAGAGAGAGAGAGAGA